UGCGAAUGGCUCAUUAAAUCAGUUAUCGUUUAUUUGAUUGUAACUUUACUACUUGGAUAACCGUGGUAAUUCUAGAGCUAAUMCAUGCUGAAAAUCCCGACUUCAGGAAGGGAUGUAUUUAUUAGAUAAAAAMCCAAUGCCUUUCGGGGCUCUUUGGUGAUUCAUGAUAACUUCGCGAAUCGCGUGGCCUUGCGCCGGCGAUGUUUCAUUCAAAUUUCUGCCCUAUCAACUUACGACGGUAGGAUAGUGGCCUACCGUGGUGUCAACGGGUAACGGGGAAUUAGGGUUCUAUUCCGGAGAGGGAGCCUGAGAAACGGCUACCACAUCCAAGGAAGGCAGCAGGCGCGCAAAUUACCCAAUCCCAACUCGGGGAGGUAGUGACAAUAAAUACUGAUGCAGGGCCUUUAGGGGUCUUGUAAUUGGAAUGAGUACAAUUUAAAUCCAUUAACGAGGAACAAUUGGAGGGCAAGUCUGGUGCCAGCAGCCGCGGUAAUUCCAGCUCCAAUAGCGUAUAUUAAAGUUGUUGCAGUUAAAAAGCUCGUAGUUGAACCUUGGGCCUGGGCGAUCGGUCCGCCUCACCGCGUGUACUGGGAGCCUGGGCCUUUCCUUCUGGCGAACCUCAUGCCCUUUAUUGGGUGUGUUGGCAAACCAGGACUUUUACUUUGAAAAAAUUAGAGUGUUCAAAGCAGGCAUUUGCUCGAAUACAUUAGCAUGGAAUAAUAGAAUAGGACGUGCGGUUCUAUUUUGUUGGUUUCUAGGACUGCCGUAAUGAUUAAUAGGGAUAGUCGGGGGCAUCCGUAUUCAAUUGUCAGAGGUGAAAUUCUUGGAUUUAUUGAAGACGAACUACUGCGAAAGCAUUUGCCAAGGAUGUUUUCUUAAUCAGGAACGAAAGUUGAGGGAUCGAAGACGAUCAGAUACCGUCGUAGUCUCAMCCAUAAACUAUGCCGACUAGGGGUCGGCGAUGUUUCUAUGAUCSSUCGGAACCUUACGAGAAAUCAA
rnacentral:rRNA from 1 species